AGAAGUGCUUGGUCUUCAGAGAAAUCCACGGGGAGGACUCUGACAAGGGCUUUCCGAUAACUUUCAGAUCAUGCCACCGAACUGGAUUUAAGGAAAACGUGUUCUCUUCUCUCUCAAGUUAUCUAUGAUUCAGAGCAAUUCGGGAAAAUCUGCCUUUCUGAACAAUGAUGAAACAUUUAUCUUUUUCUCCUUCCCAGAUCCCUCCAGAAUUCAGAAACCCUUCACUGUAUCCCAAGUGCCUCUAGUGACCAGCACCCAGGAGGUCCUCAGGAAACAUGUGUUAAUUGAACGUAUGCAACCAUGUCCUUGAAGCUGAGGAAUGAAUAGUAAGGCUGCCCUGCAGAGGGGUGACUCCAAGUCUGCAGUGCUAGAAGUUUCCAUCCAGGUAACCACCACCCAGAUCAAGAUCGAGGAUGUUUAUGGCACUCCAGGAAGUCCCCUCGAGCCCCUUCCCAACAAAGGCUCCAGAAGAUAACCACUAUGGACGAGUUUCUCUCUUCCUGAACGUUGUGUAAUCGGAAACAUACAGCAUGCAGUUUUCCCUUCUUUCACUCAUCAAUAAGAUUCAUCCGUGUUGUUGUGUGUACGGUGCAUUCUUUUUCAUCACAGUUUAUUAUUCCAUGUUAGUUUCCAUGUUAGGAAUACGUCAUGAUUUAUUGAUGAUGUUGAUGGACAUCAUGGUGGUCUCACGUUUGGGGUUUUGACUAGCAAAGCUGCAGUGGACAUCCUUGUACAUACCUACCUUCCAGUGGACGUAGGGAAGAGUUUAGAGCAGAGGAGUGAAUAAUUAGAUUGACUUUUUCUUUUCUUUUGUCCUUGGUGAUGGUUAAUUUCAUGUACUAAGUUGACUGGGUCAUGGGAUGCCCAAAUAUUUGGUCAAAUGUUGUUCUGGGUGUGUCUGUGAGGGUGUUUUGGAGAGGGUAACAUUUGACUGAGUAAAGGAGAGUGCCCUCCUCGGUAUGCUGGGGCUGACCCUAUGGGGUAAAGGCCUGAAUAGGACAAAAACCACUGACUGUCCUGUGAAUAAGGGGGAGCUCCUCCUGCCUGACGGCCUCAAGCUGGAUCAUCGGUUCUU